CCGCCCGCCAGGUCCUGUAAACGCCUGCGGCUGGCUCCGAACCCUCCCGACAGCAAGAACCUCGCAUCACGGAGACACCCAGUCCUGUUGCUUCCGACCCAGGUCAUGGGGGGCAGCCAUCCCCAGGCACGGAACACUUUUAGUCAAAGGCUUAUUUUUGCCGUAGCGAGCCCUGUCCCCCGUUUCUGUGCAUCUAAGGUUAGCACACCUCCGACCCCUGCUGACGUGACCACCCCCAAGGGUUUAUCCUGUCAUUCGACCCCCAGCUGGCUUUCUCCCACCUUCACGUGCUCUUCCUUCUGUUCCCUCCCUAAUCUCCAAUGCAGAAAAGCUGCAAACUGUUACUCUGAGUAGCAGUUGAGAUCUUGCUUCCCAACAUAUGCUGUAGGUUUAGCUCAAAUAAACUCAUAAAAA